rnacentral:rRNA from 1 species
UACGGAGGGUGCGAGCGUUGUUCGGAAUCACUGGGCGUAAAGCGCGCGUAGGCGGUCUGCUAAGUCUGAUGUGAAAGCCCGGGGCUCACCCCCGGAAGUGCAUUGGAAACUGACAGACUGGAGUCCCGGAGAGGAGGGUGGAAUUCCUGGUGUAGCGGUGAAAUGCGCAGAUAUCAGGAGGAACACCGGUGGCGAAGGCGGUUCUCUGGGCCUUUCCUGACGCUGAGGAGCGAAAGCGUGGGGAGCGAACAGG